GUAGGAUCCGAGCGUUAUCCGAAUUUACUGGGCGUAAAGCGCGUGUAGGCGGUCGGGUAAGUUGGACGUGAAAGCUCCUGGCUCAACUAGGAGAGGUCGUUCAAAACUGCCUGGCUAGAGGGCGACAGAGGGAGGUGGAAUUCCCGGUGUAGUGGUGAAAUGCGUAGAUAUCGGGAGGAACACCAGUGGCGAAGGCGGCCUCCUGGGUCGCACCUGACGCUCAGACGCGAAAGCUAGGGGAGCGAACGGGAUUAGAUACCCCGGGUAGUCCUAGCUGUAAACGAUGUGGACUUGGCGUUGGUGGGGUUAAAUCCAUCAGUGCCGUAGCUAACGCGAUAAGUCCACCGCCUGGGGACUACGGUCGCAAGAUUA
rnacentral:rRNA from 1 species